rnacentral:rRNA from 1 species
UACGGAGGGGGCUAGCGUUGUUCGGAAUUACUGGGCGUAAAGCGCACGUAGGCGGCUGUUUAAGUCGGGGGUGAAAUCCCGGGGCUCAACCCCGGAACUGCCUUCGAUACUGGAUGUCUGGAGUCCGAGAGAGGUGAGUGGAAUUCCGAGUGUAGAGGUGAAAUUCGUAGAUAUGCGGAGGAAUACCAGUGGCGAAGGCGCCUUGCUGGACAGUGACUGACGCUGAGGCGCGAAAGCGUGGGGAGCAAACAGG